UACGGAGGGUGCAAGCGUUGCUCGGAAUUAUUGGGCGUAAAGGGCAGGCAGGUGGUCUCGUUUGUCUAGGGUGAAAGCCUUGAGCUUAACUCAAGAAGUGCCCUAGAAACGGCGAGACUAGAGUUCUGGAGAGGGUCGUGGAAUUCCCGGUGUAGCGGUGAAAUUCGUAGAUAUUGGGAGGAACACCGGUGGCGAAGGCGACCGCCUGGACGAUGACUGACGCUGAGGCGCGAGAGCGUGGGGAGCAAACAGG
rnacentral:rRNA from 1 species